rnacentral:rRNA from 1 species
GAGCUAAUACAUGCGAACAGGCUCGACUCACGGAGGGAUGCUUUUAUUAGAUCAAAACCAAACAGCUUCGGCUGUAACACUGGUGACUCUGAAUAACUUUGUUCUGAUCGCAUAGCCUUGAGCUGGCGACGUUUCCUUCGAAAGUGUGCCCUAUCAACUGUCGACUGUGAUAUAGACGCUCACAGUGGUUUUGACGGGUAACGGGGAAUCAGGGUUCGAUUCCGGAGAGGGAGCCUUAAAAACGGCUACCACAUCCAAGGAAGGCAGCAGGCGCGCAAAUUACCCAAUUAUCGAAGAUAGAGGUAGUGACGAAAAAUAACAAUACACAACUCAUCCGAGGCUGUGUAAUUGGAAUGAGUACACUUUAAAACCGUUCCCGAGGAUCUAUUGGAGGGCAAGUCUGGUGCCAGCAGCCGCGGUAAUUCCAGCUCCAAUAGCGUAUAUUAAAGUUGUUGUGGUUAAAAAGCUCGUAGUUGGAUUUCGGCAGGCAUAGGCCGGUUUGAAUCGCUUCAAUACUGACUUUUUUGCCUGUGUGUUUUGCCAGAAUUCAGCGGGUGUUCUUAACCGAAUGUCCGUUGGAGCUGGCAGGUUUACUUUGAAAAAAUUAGAGUGCUCAAAGCAAGCUUGAUUGCUUGAAUAUUCGUGCAUGGAAUAAUAGAAUAGGAAGUCGUUUCUAUUUUGUUGGUUUUCGGAGAUGGACUUAAUGAUUAAUAGGGAUAGUCGGGGGCAUUUGUAUUCAAACGACAGAGGUGAAAUUCUUGGACCGUUUGAAGACAAACUACA